CGUGCUUAACACAUGCAAGUCGAACGGUAACAGGAGAAGCUUGCUUCUUGCUGACGAGUGGCGCACGGGUGAGUAAUGCAUAGGUAACGUGCCCCUUAGUCUAGGAUAGCCACUGGAAACGGUGAUUAAUACUGGAUACUCCUUCUUCCUUAAUGGAAGUUGGGAAAGUUUUUCGCUAAGGGAUCGGCCUAUGUUGUAUCAGGUAGUUGGUGAGGUAAUGGCUCACCAAGCCUAUGACACAUAGCGGGUCUGAGAGGAUGAUCCGCCACACUGGUACUGAGACACGGACCAGACUCCUACGGGAGGCAGCAGUGGGGAAUAUUGCACAAUGGACGAAAGUCUGAUGCAGCAACGCCGCGUGGAGGAUGACACAUUUCGGUGCGUAAACUCCUUUUAUAUGAGAAGAUAAUGACGGUAUCAUAUGAAUAAGCACCGGCUAACUCUGUGCCAGCAGCCGCGGUAAUACGGAGGGUGCAAGCGUUAUUCGGAAUCACUGGGCGUAAAGGGUGCGUAGGCGGUUUGAUAAGUCUGAUGUGAAAUCCUAUGGCUCAACCAUAGAACUGCAUUGGAAACUGUCAAACUAGAAUACUGAAGGGGCAGAUGGAAUUAGUGGUGUAGGGGUAAAAUCCGUAGAUAUCACUAGGAAUACCGAAAGCGAAAGCGAUCUGCUGGGAAGUUAUUGACGCUGAGGCACGAAAGCGUGGGGAGCAAACGGGAUUAGAUACCCCGGUAGUCCACGCCCUAAACGAUGAAUGCUAGUCGUCGGAAAGCUCGUCUUUUUGGUGAUGCAGUUAACACAUUAAGCAUUCCGCCUGGGGAGUACGGUCGCAAGAUUAAAACUCAAAGGAAUAGACGGGGACCCGC
rnacentral:rRNA from 1 species